AGGGCAUAUGUACAUAUGAAGGGGAGUUUCUUGAGGAGAGCUGACUCACACGAUUACAAGGUGAAGUCCCAUGAUAUGCUGUCUGCAAGCUGAGGAAGAAGGAAGCCAAUAGUGGCUCAGUCAGAGUUCAGAAGCCUCAAAAGCAGGGAAGCUGAUAGUAUAGCCUUCAGUCUGUGGCUGAAGGCCUGAGAGCCCCUGGAAAACCACUGGUGUAAGUCCAAGAGUCCAGAAGCUGAAGAACCUGGAGUCUGAUGACCAAGGGCAGGAAGCAUCCAGCACGGGACAAAGAAGAAAGCCAGAAGACUCAGCAAGCCAGCUCACCUCACUUUCUUCUGCCUGCUUUGUUGUAGCUGAGCUGGCAGCCAAUUGGAUGGUGCACACUCACAUUGAGGAUUGGGAGGCUGCUGUGUAUGGAUAAGAUACCUGCUACAGCCAGCUUGACACCAUGAGAAGGACAAGAGAAUUGCAGAGACACAUAUCCAGGAUUCUGAUCCAGUUGAGGCACUGAAAUAAUCUAGAACCACCUUCAAAUUUCUUAUAAAGAGAGUACUGACGGGGUUUCACCAUGUUGGCCGGGCUGGUCCCAAACUCCUGACCUCAAGUGAUCUGCCUGCCUCGGCCUCUCAAAGUGCUGGGAUUAUAGGCUUGAGCUACUGUGCCCAGCUGAGAGCAAUUUUUAAAAGAUAAGUAUAUGAGUUUUCAUUCUGUUUCAUACUACUGAGCUAUUUUUACCAAAGUAUCAAAAUGUAACAAAUAUCAACUCUCUGAUUUCAUAUCAUUUUACAGAAUUAAGAUAAAAUCUAAUCUCAAUCCAGGGAACAGGAUUAGUAAUUGUAGACUUUGGAUUUUUUUUUUUUUUUUGCUAUAAACAAACAAACUGAUUAUAACAGGCUUUAUCCUUAAUAAAGUUAGUUAGGUCCAAGAGACAUAAAAAUGCGAGAAAGCAAGAAUUUCAGUGGAAGUCAAAUUGUUAUACAACACUCUACUUCUUUGAAUUAUUGGCAUUUAUGUUCUUAGAAGAGUCAUCUCCAUGAUACAGGCGUCAGUGAGAAUGUUAAAAUAUUUUUGAGGCCUAGGGAAAAUGUAUGCCAAUUAAUUAACUUGUUUUUAUCUGUGAUUCUCUCAUAUGUUAAAUUUAAUAAGUUAAAUAAUUACAUAAAGCAAGCUUCUCAAAAAUAGAAGCCUCCUUUUUAAAGAAGGGAAAUAAAAAUACUGAACUUAGGUUAAAGUUAACUUAGCAUCUAAAUAAAGCACAAAAAUUUAAUCAUAUAAAACAUUAGCAUUAUUGUACCAAGGAUGUGGUGGCAGAGAAUAUUUUAAAAUAGAUUUUAAUACACUUGGGUGGGACUUCUGCUGUUAAUUUGCUGUAUGACUCUAGGUAGCUCACAUAAACUCUCUGGUUUCCCUCUCCACAAAAUGAGGAGUUUUAGCUAUUUAAAGUUAAAGAACAUCUUCACAAUAUAAAUAUUUUAUUUUUUUAUUUUAUCACAGGGAAAAUUUAAAAUCAGGCAUCAAUAUGAAUAUGCAGAGUGGUUUUAUGAGCUGUCUUUUAAAAUGGAAUAGGGCAAAAAUCAAAUAUAUUAGGCUUGUUGAUGUUUCUCAGAUUUCCUGUCAUUUUAACAGACUAACUGGUCACUCAUCAAGAUGAAAAUCAAAUUAAUAGAAAACUAUUAUUCUUUAGAAAAAUGUGUUUGAAAAGCUUUGUAUCAUUUUAAUGGGUCUCAAAUUAACCCACCUAUUCUGUCAAGGAUAUGAGAUAGCUCCAUGACUAAUAUUUUAUUCUUUGUGAAUAUUUCCUUCCCAAGUUCUACCACAGUUAAUAUCUAAUGUCUAAAAUUUUUUCAAACAUUGCCUUGCAAUCCUUCUUAAAUAAUUUCACUGAAAACGUGUGCCUUAUUUAUCUGUAUCAGAAUUAAAUCACCGUGAUUACAAAUUCCUUAAUAGCAAAGGUCAAAAGAGAAGUUAAAAUAUUUUCCUUGUAUUUUUAAAACUCAGAAGUUAACAUAUUGCCCUUGUAUUAUUAAAACUCAAAAGAGAACUUAAAAUAUUGUCCUUGUAUUAUUAAAACUCAUAAUCCUUCAUAAGGACUAUGAAUAUAUGAAAAUACAAAAAUAUUCAGUAGGAAAAUACAAAAAUAUUCAGUAGUAGCUACUUUAUUCAAUAAAUCAGUCAGUCCAUUGUCAACCAAUAUUUAGAGUGUCUACCAUGGGCGGGGCACUGAUCUACAUACCUGGGACACAAGGAGGAUUACUGUGCUUGAGGAUAUUAUUUUCUAGUAGAAGGAGACAAGCAAUAAAUAGCUAACAGAAUUUAUGGGUGUAUUACAUAGCAUGUUAAGAUGAUUAGAAAAAAGAAAGUGCACAGCAAACAGUGUGUUCGGGAGUGCUGGGGGACAGAAUGAGGAAGUCCAUUGCAGAUUUAAAUGGGGUGGUCAAGGAGGGCUUCAUUGAGGAGACAUCUGAGCAAACAUUUCAGAGGUCAGAGAACUAGUCAUGAGGGCAUCGCAGGGAGAUGCAUGCCCAGUGGGGAGAGCAGUUCUUGCAAUGGCCCUAUAGCAGGAGUGCCUAGUUUGUUGGAGGAACAGCAAGAGGGACAUUGGGGCUGGAGCAGAGCAAAGCAAGGUGGAGAGUUGUAUGAGAAAGGGCCAGAGAGAGAACAGGGAGUGACAGUUUUGCAGUCUACCGUAAAGACCUUGGUGUUUAUUCCGAGUUAAAUAUGGAGCCUUUGAAAAAUUUUGAGCAGAGAGUGAAUAAGAUUCGACUUAUAUUUGAAAGGGAUCACUCUGUUGGUCAUAUUCAUAAUAGACUGAAUGGGAAGGCACGAGCAGAACCAGGGAGAGCAGUUAGAAGGCAAUUGCAAUAAUUCAGGGACAAGGUGAUGGUGGCUUAGACCAUUAUGGUGGCAUAGAAGUGGUGAGAAAUAGUCAGAUUUUAAACAUGCUUUGAAAGUAGAACCGAAGGAUGGUUGUGUUUGCUUCCUGGGAAGGGUUGAGCUUAUAACAAGCGUCUUGGUUGUGAAUUGAAUUCUGUUGAUGUAGUUGAAAUUCUGAGUGCUUGAGCCUCCUCACCUUUUCCAAUGAUGAAGAGAGAAUGCCUAGGGUAGCCAUCUUAGCUCAGUGUGGGCUCAUGUUUGACCCUCAUUAAGGAUGGGAAGAAUUUGUUCCAAAUAUGUGGGCUUCAUUUUGCAUCCUGUUGAUGGAUGUUCUUUAUCAUAAUAAGAAAUGUGUAUUUCAUGAAAUCAAAAGUUCCUUUGGUGAAGGAAGUCUGUUAUAGUCUUCAAAAACAUAAUUAUCAAAAUGGUUUGUUUACUAUAACGUUUAGAGUCAGUGUAAAAGAUCAAUGAAUGAAGUGGCUUCUAGAGACGGACAUGCCAGUUGCAAAUUUCCGUGCUGCUACGUAACUAGUUUAUCUUAUUUACUUUAUUAACCCUAUCUUAUAGCAUUGUCAGCAAUAAAGAAAUUUACAUAUCUGAAUAACUUGGAACUUUCUACAUAAUACUAUGCUAUUAGGAUUUAAUUAAAUGGAUGCCAACAGCAAGUAAACCAUCUCCAAAGAUGCCAUGAAGCUCUCCUAAUUGCAGGAAAAUAUCAGAGGCACUUGAUUUGAGUCUUUCAAGUACAGAAAUAACAAAUUCAGUCUCAACAGACCUAUAGUGAAUGAGAAUGAUUGUCACAUAAUGUGUAGAGAAAAUGGAAGAAUCAAAGGCAAGGCAAACCUGUACAGUGGAGACACAAAAGGUCACUGGCAGAUUUCAAAUGAUCCAAGACAUCCUCAAGACAUUGAGAUCUGCUGAUUGGAGAUCUUAGUGCCCAAGGAAGAAUGCUUGCAAAAGGAGAUGGAACAGUGUUUCUGUUGCAUUGGCCACUGAGAAUAUCUGGUUAUUUUGAAUUUGUCACAGUCUGCAGCUAAAAGGUGAACAGGAAAAGAAGAGGAAGCGGCACAUGAGACUAGCAGGAGUAAAUGUUUUAUACACUGGGCCUCGCAAAAAUUCUGCAAUCACUGGGAAUCAGUAACCUGGUGAAUGAGAAAACAACGUAAUACUGAAAAAUCAAAACACCAUCCUACAGAACUUUGAUGUAUUCAGAACAAAGCAGGAAUUCACUGAAUGUCUAUCUAUCAUGUAUGCUGUUGGAGGCACCUGUCUUUCAGUUCAGAGGUUAUGGAUGUAUCUAUCAUCAGUAUUUCGGGAAGUCAGGGACCCCGAACAGAGGGACUUAAUGAAGCUGUGGCAGAAGAACAAAUUGUGAAGAUUUCAUGGACAUUUAUUAGUUCCCCAAAUUAAUACUUUUAUAAUUUCUUACACCUGUCUUUACUGCACUCUCUGAACAUAAAUUGUGAAGAUUUCAUGGACAGUUAUCACUUCCCCAGUCAACACGCUUAUAAUUUCCUAUGCCUGUCUUUACGUUAAUCUCUUAAUCCCAUCAUCUUUGUAAGCUGAAGAUGUAUGUCCCUCAGGACCCUGUGAUGAUUGCGCUAUCUGCACAAAUUGUUUGUAAAGCAUAUGUUUUUGAACAGUAUGAAAUCUGGGCAUCUAGAAAAGGAACAGGAUAACAACGAUUUUCAGGGAACAAGGGAAAUAACCAUUAGGUCUGACUGCCGGGGAGCCGGGCAGGACCAAGUCAUAUUUCUCUUAUUGUCAAAAACGGGUAAGAGAAAUAUUGCUGAAUUCUUUCCCCAGUAAGGAAUAUUAAUAAUUAACAACCCUGGGAAAAGAAUGCAUUCCUGGGGGGAGGCCUCUAAAAUGGCCGCUCUGGGAAUGUCUGCCUUAUGCAGUUGUAGAUAGGGAUGAAACAUGCCCUGGUCUCCUGCAGCGCCCCCAGGCUUGCUAGGAUUAGGAAAUCCAGACUGGUGAAUUUUAGACAGACUGGUUGCCUGCUCUCAAACCCUAUCUUCUGAAAAGAUAUUAUCAAUGACAAUGUGUGCCCGGUGGUACAUGAGACUUCCUCAGCAAUUCUAAUUUUGCCCUGAUCAUGUGAUCUCACUCUGCCCCCAUCUGCCUUGUGAUAUUUUAUUGCCCUUGAAGCAUGUGAUCUCUGUGACCCACACCCUAUUCGUACACCCCUCCCCUUUUGAAAUCCAUAAUAAAAUCUUGCUACUUUUGUGGCUGAAGGGGCAUCACAGAACCUGCCGACAUGUGAUGUCUCCCCCAGACACCUAGCUGUAAAAUUUC